CGGCGUAGCUCAGCGGUAGAGCAGCGCGCUGUUAACGCGAUGGUCGCAGGUUCGAAUCCUG
rnacentral:tRNA from 1 species